rnacentral:lncRNA from 1 species
GAGGGAGAGGAGGCAAUGCAGCACCUGCCCGGAAGAGCCCGAGCGUUCCCGGCAGCGAGAACGUGCCUCUGCGGGUUGCCGCGCAGCCGGGCUCUGCGCUGGCUUGGGCUCGUCCACCACAAUGAAUUAAAAUCUGUGGACUGAAUCUGUGGAAGGAGGAGGCCUCAUAGAAGAACUGAGAAGUGCACAGAUUGCAAGUUUGGACGCUGGGCUGAACCCUCCCCAAACGACUCGGGCCUGCCCAACUCAGCCGCGCUCGCAGCAGCCAGCUUUUCACGAGGGACCGUUCUGGUUCCUUCCUACUUCCAGCCGCAGCUACUAACGCAAGUCUUGCUUCGUCCCUGCGUCCACCCUGCAUCCGCCUGCAUCCGGGGGGGGCCCCUGGAGCAGGUGCCGCUUUGCGGGCAAAGGUGACCAACACCAUCGCGGCAGCAGUGCUGGGGGCAGCUCCGGGGUGUGCCUCUGGAGGACUUCCCGCCGUGCUUUGCGGCGCCGUCCGCCAAAGUCAACCCAUUGCUCGCUGCAGAGAGGCAACUCCAGCAGGAAAUCCUCAAACGAAAGGAGAGGCUGGGGAAGACCCGGAUGCUGGUUCCCCCAUGCGCUCGACCGCGGCCGUGCUCAAGCGGAAACUGCGGCCCCGCGGGAGGCAAGGGCGUAUUUGGAGCUCCUCCAAAUUACUGAGCAGGUGGGAACGUUUCCUGCCCGGCGUCUCUUCACCUGCUGCUGGCGGGCGAGAAAAAUACGACGAGCCCUCGAGGACUUAACGGACGGGUGCGAUGCAGGAGCUGCUGGGGAGACGUCGCUGGUAGCGGCUGCGGGAAUCUGCCCCGCCGCGGGUGGGAAGGCGGCACGGGAGACGGGCUGAUGGAGAUGUGCGCAGCCCUGAGAAGAGCCGGUGUAGCGGCUUCUCCCGGAGGGCGGAAACAGCGCCGAGCGGAGCUCGCACAUGUGCACCCGCUGGUUUCCAUGGAAACCCAGCAAAAGGAGUACUUAAAAAGAAGAGGAGGGAACGAGGCGGGGAGGACUUCAGCGUGGCCUCCGAUCGCUGCCUCCGUGGCCCAGCGGGACCGUGAGACGCAGGUGCCUCGUGACGAGGUCUCCUGGCUUACGUAGUGAUGGUGGCAGUUCCCCUUCGCCCGCGGGCAGCUCGCGUUGCCUUUCUCUGCCGCCUUGCCCCGGGGCUUUCCGAAAACGUCCCGCGUGCCAGGACUGCGCCAGUGGGCGCCCGCCCGGGGCCCGCGUCUCCCCGCAGCCUUUUGCUGCAGUCGCAGCACGCAGAGGCAGGCGUGCGCGCGCAUGGUUUUUUGCAGAGGCGAAAAGAGCUGAGAACAGAACCUGCACUUUUAAAUCACUCCGUGCCUGAAUCCUUUCGGAGACAUAAAUAAUAUUCAUAACAUUAUAUGUUUUUAAAAAUAUAAUACAACAAAAUGGCCCAACCGGCUCCCAAAGCCCGGAUCUGGCCAAAACUUUGGAGCAUCCCCCGCGGCACAGAGCAACGCCAGAUGUGCAGCGUGCCAGGCGCGACCCGCCGCACGGACCGGACGUGAGCAAACCUGACCAGCCUCUUGGUGUUCAGGGUUUGGCGAGCCUUUGCCUCUGCCUUACAGGGUUAUUGCCCUUUGCUGGAAUACUGACUUUUCCCCUUCAAGCCCUAGGGCAAUUAGUGAUUAAUACGUUGUCCAGAAAUAAGUCUUAAGAAAUCCAUAGAUUUCCUUCUUCUGCAGGCAGACUCUCUUUUUCUAGGUUAUCUGUAGCUUUAUAUAAAACUGAGAAGUUGAAUAGCAGACUAAAAUAAAUGCCAUAUUAUUAUUUAGUCCA